rnacentral:rRNA from 1 species
UACGGGGGGAGCAAACGUUGUUCGGAAUCACUGGGCUUACAGGGUGCGUAGGCGGCUUGUUAAGUAGGGUGUGAAAUCCCCCGGCUCAACCGGGGAAUGGCGCCCUAAACUGGCGAGCUGGAGUGAGAUAGGGGUGUGUGGAACUUCCGGUGGAGCGGUGAAAUGUGUUGAUAUCGGAAGGAACGCCGGUGGCGAAAGCGACACACUGGAUCUUGUCUGACGCUGAGGCACGAAAGCCAGGGGAGCGAACGGG